CAGGAGAUACUUGCUUUUUAUGGAAGGCUACAGCUAAAUUUGACAAGAGGAUCUAGUGAAUCUAGUUCUCUGGUGGAACAACUUUUGAACGUGGUUACUAGUGAACUGGAUCUUGGUAGUUCAUCAAGUUCUGCAUCAUGGGGUGAUUCAACCAAGGAUGGGACAUUGAGCAGCUAUCAGAAUAGCUUGGUUGAGUUGGCUGCACAUGUGCUCUACCGGGCAGUUGUCAAUACUACUAGAUCAUCACUGUCAGAGAAACGAGCUCGAAGGCAACAUAUUACAUUG